rnacentral:rRNA from 1 species
ACGGACCCGCACAAGCAGCGGAGCGUGUGGUUAAUUCGAGGCUACACGAAGAACCUUACCAGGGUUUGACAUGCAAGUGGUAGGAAUCCGAAAGGUGACCGACCCUUCGGGGAGCUUGCACAGGUGCUGCAUGGCUGUCGUCAGCUCGUGUCGUGAGAUGUUCGGUUAAGUCCGCUAACGAGCGCAACCCUCGUCGUGUGUUAUACGUGUCACACGAUACUGCCGGUAUCAAGCCGGAGGAAGGUGGGGAUGAUGUCAAGUCAGCAUGGCCUUUAUAUCCUGGGCUACACACACGCUACAAUGGCAGAUACAAUAGGUUGCGAAACCGCGAGGUGGAGCCAAUCCUCAAAGUCUGUCUCAGUUCAGAUUGUAGGCUGCAACUCGCCUGCAUGAAGUUGGAGUUGCUAGUAAACGCAGGUCAGCUAUACUGCGUUGAAUACGUUCCUGGGGUUU